GGGGAUAUAGUAUAACUUGGUAGAAUAGGAGCCUCCAGAGCUUUAGAUCUGGGUUCAAAUCCCAGUAUCCCCA
rnacentral:tRNA from 1 species